UGCCCCGGCAGUGGGCAAAGAGAUAUCUUGGUGGUGGUGGUGUUCUUAAAUCAGUCGGGGGCAGAACAGAUAGUUGUCCUUUGUUCAUCCUAGCUUGAUGCCUGGCUCAGUGGCCAAAGCUGUUCAUUCCUAGGGCACAGUC
ensembl:snoRNA